CACCCGAAUGCCAGACUGUCCUUUCAUAAACUCCUUCCUUCCUUGGCUACUUCCCCCCUCCACACCCCACUGCGCGCCUUCUGAACGGAAUUUGAACGUUCACUUACGGUUCUGGUGCACUUUUUUCUGCGAGUGCUAUUUUUCUAGAAAAAGAGGUGCCAGAACUCACCAUGAACCCCUCCCUUGUUCUCUAAUAAUGGCAAUGGCACCCACCUGAGAGGGGGUGGAACUGAGUUCUGGAAGAUCAAUCAAAGAGGAAAUCUCAUGACAAUAUCGACCUACAAAAAAUGAAAGAUUCCUACCAGUGAUGUUGCUUAAAAGGUCCAUACCUGGAGACUAGCUUGCGAUGGAGAAUAAUCUAAUAUUGUUUGAUUUUUUAAUGUAAUAAUGUUUUGCCACACUGCAUAAAAGUUUCUGGAUUGUCCAGUCCUUUUAUCAAUCACAUUUGAUUCCUUAUUUUCUCUGCAUUUUCUCUGUGCUUUGUAAUAGUUGCACUUAUUUGCAAAUGUGCAGGCAGAGCAGGGUCUGUGUCAACAGCUGGGGUAGGUGGGCAAUUGCUGUGAUCCCAUGCGCCAUCCAGGUCUACUGACAAGGGCCCCCUGGACCCGCUCUUCCUUUUCACCACUGCAAUGUACUUGUUCAUCCGACUCUCACUCUGGCCAGGUGGUUUGAAGGAAGGGCUGUAGAAGCAGGAGCCACGGACUGUUUGCUCAUUGAUUUUUUGCCUGAAAAGCACACAGCAAAUGGAGAAGAGAAGCAGCUGGCAAUAAUAGCAUGGAGGGUAUAGACUCACUGAGGAAACAGGGGCCCAUGGAGGGUUCUUGCCCCUUCUCCCUUCAGUCCUUGGAACUAGCAUUGAGGUUGAACAUAGGGGAAGGUUCACAGCUAUAAACAUGCCACUGCUUUCAAAUCAGAUCUCUAGGGAAACAACCUAUUUCCAGAGCCCAAACAAAAAUGUCACCCUGUCUCUCUAUGCCGGGGUGGGCAGAAGGUAGACCACAAUCUUGUGGGAUACCUCUGAGUGAUUUGCCAAAGAUCUGCAAGAGUUCCUGACUCCCAAUUAUUUAACAUAUACAUACUUAUUUGAUCACUUUGAUCCUGCAUUGCAGGGCGUUGGGCUAGAGGACCCUCGUGAUCCCUUCCAGCUCUACAAUUCUAUGAUUCUAUGAUCUGCGUAACUUGCACCUUUAAAAGUUCCACCUAGUGACUAUAUUCAGACAGCACUUUAUUCCAUUUUCUUCUCUGUUAAUUUUCACAUUUUUUUGAUGUUUCACAUAAUGUAAAAUACACUUCUGGAAAUCUAACACAAUGUAGUAGAAGUCUAAUGUUCAUUUCCAUGUUAAUUACUUACCUUUUUAAAAGAGGUUUGCAACCCUG